CGCGUAGGUCGUUUGGUAAGUUGGAAGUGAAAGCCCCGGGCUCAACCUGGGAAUUGCUUUCAAAACUGCCUGACUAGAGUACGGUAGAGGGUGGUGGAAUUUCCUGUGUAGCGGUGAAAUGCGUAGAUAUAGGAAGGAACAUCAGUGGCGAAGGCGACCACCUGGACUGAUACUGACACUGAGGUGCGAAAGCGUGGGGAGCAAACA
rnacentral:rRNA from 1 species